rnacentral:rRNA from 1 species
AUUGAACGCUGGCGGCAUGCUUUACACAUGCAAGUCGAACGGCAGCGCGGGCUUCGGCCUGGCGGCGAGUGGCGAACGGGUGAGUAAUACAUCGGAACGUGCCCAGUAGUGGGGGAUAGCUCGGCGAAAGCCGGCUUAAUACCGCAUACGACAUGAGGGUGAAAGCGGGGGAUCUUCGGACCUCGCGCUAUUGGAGUGGCCGAUGGCAGAUUAGCUAGUUGGUGGGGUAAAGGCCUACCAAGGCGCCGAUCUGUAGCUGGUCUGAGAGGACGACCAGCCACACUGGGACUGAGACACGGCCCAGACUCCUACGGGAGGCAGCAGUGGGGAAUUUUGGACAAUGGGCGAAAGCCUGAUCCAGCAAUGCCGCGUGUGUGAUGAAGGCCUUCGGGUUGUAAAGCACUUUUGGCGGGAACGAAAAGGACUGUGCCAAUACCACGGUUCGAUGACGGUACCCGCAGAAUAAGCACCGGCUAACUACGUG